rnacentral:misc_RNA from 1 species
GAUGAAGAACGUAGCGAAAUGCGAUAAGUAGUGUGAAUUGCAGAAUUCAGUGGAUCAUCGAAUCUUUGAACGCACAUUGCGCCCCUUGGUAUCCCGAGGGGCAUGCCUGUUCGAGCGUCAUUUCACCACUCAAGCCUGGCUUGGUGUUGGGCGACGUCCUCUUUGGGGACGCGCCUCGAAACGCUCGGCGGCGUGGCACCGGCUUUAAGCGUAGCAGAAUCUUUCGCUUUGGAAGUCGGGGCCCCGUCUGCCGGAAGACCUGCUCGCAAGGUUGACCUCGGAUCAGGCAGGGAUACCCGCUGAACUUAAGCAUAUCAAUAAGCGGAGGA